rnacentral:lncRNA from 1 species
CACAAGGGUCACCACCACCACCACCACCACCACCCCCCAACCUACCCUCCAGCGAAGCCUCCGGUUCAUCCACCGGUUAAGCCUCCAGUGCACCCUCCCGUGAAGCCUCCGGUUCAUCCACCAGUGUACCCUCCCGUGGAGCCUCCAGUUCAUCCACCGGUUAAGCCUCCAGUGCACCCUCCCGUGAAGCCUCCGGUUCAUCCACCAGUGUACCCUCCCGUGAAGCCUCCAGUUCAUCCACCGGUUAAGCCUCCAGUACACCCACCGGUUAAGCCUCCAGUGCACCCUCCCGUGAAGCCUCCGGUUCAUCCACCAGUGUACCCUCCCGUGAAGCCUCCUCCAGCCUUCACCCUCCACCGGUUAAGCCUCCAGUGCACCCUCCCGUGAAGCCUCCAGUACACCCACCAGUGUACCCUCCCGUGAAGCCUCCAGUUCAUCCACCGGUUAAGCCUCCAGUGCACCCUCCCGUGAAGCCUCCAGUACACCCACCGGUUAAGCCUCCAGUGCACCCUCCCGUGAAGCCUCCGGUUCAUCCACCAGUAUACCCUCCCGUGAAGCCUCCAGUUCAUCCACCGGUUAAGCCUCCAGUGCACCCUCCCGUGAAGCCUCCAGUACACCCACCGGUUAAGCCUCCAGUGCACCCUCCUGUGAAGCCUCCAGUUAAGCCUCCAGUGUACCCUCCCGUGAAGCCUCCAGUCCACCCUCCGGUAAGGAAGCUUGUGGCGGUACAAGGAGUUGUUUAUUGCAAGACCUGCAGUUAUGCUGGUUUUAAUCCCAAGGCAGCUGUGCCUCUCCAGGGUACGUCCAUAACGCUACUUUAAACAUCCCCUUUUCACAAUUUUCCGUUCUUCUUUUAGGUGUUUUUUUCUUAUGCUUUUUAGCUUAGGAACUUGUAGAGGACAGCAUUUCGUGAGUACCACAAAGUAUUGUUCCAAAAGAUACUACUCUCUCGUGCACCCUUUCAUUUUGCCCUUUUAUUCCAAAACAAUCCUGAGCUACAAUGUCAUGCACAAGAACUGAUUCGUGUUGCUCAAACAAAAGAAGCCGAAACCAAGAAACCUUGAAGAAUCGAAAUGCUACAAUUGGAAUAAGGAAAUAGAGUUUGUCACGUGGGCCUGUUGUUAAAAGUCAUAAACCUUCAUGACACUAAAGUGAGCUAAACGACAAAAAUCAAAGAAUGUUCGCGCAUGGUUAGGAAAGAAGGAAUGGCUAAUAAUUUGUUUGACCGAGUCUUUUUUACGUUUUUUUUUUUGGUGAAUUACUCUGGGACUUCAUGAUGUAUUGUUACUGUGGAAUUGCAG